rnacentral:rRNA from 1 species
AUUGAACGCUGGCGGCAGGCCUAACACAUGCAAGUCGAGCGGAGCGGCGGACGGGUGAGUAAGGCCUAGGAAUCUGCCUGGUAGUGGGGGAUAACGGUCUGAAAGGGGCGCUAAUACCGCAUACUAUAAGACGACUCUAGGUCGGAUUAGCUAGUUGGUGGGGUAAAGGCCUACCAAGGCUACGAUCCGUAACUGGUCUGGCAGGAUGAUCAGUCACACUGGAACUGAGACACGGUCCAGACUCCUACGGGAGGCAGCAGUGGGGAAUAUUGGACAAUGGGCGAAAGCCUGAUCCAGCCAUGCCGCGUGUGUGAAGAAGGUCUUCGGAUUGUAAAGCACUUUCAGUUGGGAGGCGUUACCCACAGAAUAAGCACCGGCUAACUCCGUGCCAGCAGCCGCGGUAAUAC